rnacentral:rRNA from 1 species
CAGUCGCCGCGGGAAUACGAAGGGGGCUAGCGUUGUUCGGAAUUACUGGGCGUAAAGCGCACGUAGGCGGAUAUUUAAGUCAGGGGCGAAAUCCCAGAGCUCAACUCUGGAACUGCCUUUGAUACUGGGUAUCUUGAGUAUGGAAGAGGUGAGUGGAAUUCCGAGUGUAGAGGUGAAAUUCGUAGAUAUUCGGAGGAACACCAGUGGCGAAGGCGGCUCACUGGUCCAUUACUGACGCUGAGGUGCGAAAGCGUGGGGAGCAAACAGGAUUAGAUACCCCGGUAGUCCCUGUCUCUUAUAC